UAAGGUUUUUUGUUUUGUUUCAGCUUGGGAGUCUUUAUCUCUCUCUAAGGGAGUAACAGUUUAUGAAGAACACUCUGCAUUCCAGUGUCCCUUAUCAGAUCAGCAGCUGCUGGGUCCCAGUGCAGACAACCGUAAAGGGAAUUUUAGCCAGAUACUAAUGAAGACAUGAUUUAAGAGUCCAAAUAGGAGUAUCCUCUGACAGUAAAAAACUGCAAAGGAAUAGAAAAGUUAAUGCAUUUGCAGCCUUGAGAAUUCCCAUAUAGGUAAAAACAGAUAAAAGAAGCCAGAGGGUAAACCGUUAACAUUACAGAACCAAGGAAACCAGCAACCCAGCAUGCAGCGAAGACGUGUGACAACAGUCAAUGCUCCUGACUGGAUCUUCUUUACAGCCUCCUCAGUAAUAAGAGAUUGAAAAGCACACAAGGUUUCGCUCCAAGCUUUUGGUCCUAUUGGUAAUGGUUUAAGUGUUUUGAUUAGUAAGUCAUUCGAGUGUCACUUUGCAAAGUCUUUUUGUGUAACCUGGUGUUAUUAAUUCUGAUUUUACUGGACAAAUACAAGCUAUGGUUUAUAUUCCUUUCCCACCUGUGUAUAUCACCCAAAGCAGUCGUGUUACUCAAUUAAUACCAUUUCAAAGAUUGUAUUAGAGAAAAUAGACCUUCAAGUCGCACCUGAAAAAAUUCAAACCUGGAAAUAUUUUGAGUGGAAAAUUUUGAAUGCCACAAUUGAACCCCAGCAAGCCAAAUUGCAAAUAGUAGUUAAAACAAUUUACAAAAGCUAAACCUUAUUUGUGUAUAACUAAUGCAGAAUUAAGUCCAUUAUUUGAUCUUCUUAAGGGAGGACAUGGCUUUAACAGCACCUCGAGUGAUGCACAACAAACUUUGGGCGGAAUUGAAAAAGCCAUUGCUCAGAAAAAAGCCCAUAGACGACUUGAUGGUCAUCCAAUAUGUAUGUUUUUGUUAUUCUGUGUCAGGCAUUUGCUGAUCAUAGACUUAAAGGACUGUUUCUUCACUAUUCAGUUACAUCCUAAUGACACUCAAUGCUUUGCAUUCACUUUACCCACAAUCAAUAGGGAAGGACCUGAUUUGCACUUUGAAUGGACAGUAUUGCCGCAGGGCAUGAAAAAUAGCCCCACUUUGUGUCAGUUGUUUGUGGAUAAUGCUUUAAGAGAAAUAAGGCAUGUAUGGCCACAAACCAUGAUCUAUCACUAUAUGGACGAUAUUCUUUUUGCACAGAACCAGCCAUUUACCACUCAAUAAGAGAAAUAUUUGGAGACACAACUAACCACACAUAAAUUGAUUAUAGCAAUGGAAAAAAAUUCAACGUUCCCCUGUUUGGAAAUAUCUAGGAUGGAACAUAACGAAUUCUCAAGUACAACCACAAAAAAUUAACCUUUUGCACCUCGCUUACAACAGUUAAUGAUGCUCAACGACUUUUAGGAGACCUGCAAUGGUUAUGACCUAUAGCAGGAAUCCCCAAUGAUGAACUGGAUGUUUUGCGUCCUCUUUUAAAAGGAACUGAUCCAGCACGGGAAAUUAACAAUCGAACAACGACAAAUGAUACAACGCCUUAGUGAAACUCUUGUCGACCGCACAGUGGACCUCACAAUUCUCCAAGAGCGAUCCCAAUUUAUCGGAGCCCUUACGCAAAUAAAGAAAAAGGGGGAGAUUAGAGUACUUGAAUGGAUCUUUACAAUGGAUACAUCAUGAUCUGAAUGUAGUAACGGACUCCAUGUAUGUUGCCAAUAUAGUGAAUUGUGUAGAAGAUGCUCGAAUAAAAGAAAUACACAAUCAACACUUGUUUGAUUUAAUUCGACAACUACAAUCAGCUAUCCGACAACAAAUGUGCCCUUUUUGCAUAGUACAUAUUAGAAGUCAUAUGUGGACAGAAGGACUUGGAGAAGGAAAUUAUGGAGCAGAUCAACUCGUAUCUUUGGCUGCACCACUGAGUGAUUUUGUGAAGGCACGAGAAGCACAUAAUGCCUUUCACCAAAAUGCACGAGGACUACAUCGACAAUUCAACAUUACAAUGGAGGAAGCAAAAGGAAUUGUCUGCGCCUGCCCUACAUGCAGUCAUCAUGGACCUGGUUUAGGGUUAGGUGUAAAUCCAAGAAGUCUCAGAUCUCAAGAAUUAUGGCAAAUGGACGUGACCCAUUUUGCUGCAUUUAGCAGAUGGAAAUAUGUACAUGUCAUCAUAGACACUUAUAGCAAAUAUAUAUGGGCCUCUGCGCAAACGGGACCAAAAUGGAUUCCCAGUAAAUGGACCGAUGGGUUCUUCUGAUGAAAGAAGACAAGCAGAGGGUCAAUGACAAACUCCUGUUGACUGUAAAACCUAUUAUUGAGAGGUUAAGAGGCUAUCAAAAAGAGAUUGACGACAUAGUUGAAAGUUGCACACCUUUUGAAAAUAUUGUAAAUGGGAUAGAAGAGUUAGCAACAUUUAAAGUCAAGGGACCAGCUAAGCAGAACUGUCUUGAUUGCAAAAGGCCACAUUGUGUACCAUGGGUAGCCUUACAAUGUGGAAUGUGUAAAGAAAUAUUUUGGAUAAGGCAAAAAUUUUUGAGAGCAUUAUGGUGUCCAAGUUGUGAAUUUAAAUUUAGUUUUUAUAACUGGCAGAGAGAACUGCAAAAACAAACUAAAUUACCUUUGUCCAUUUCCCUAGCCUUAUUUGAAUCACCAGAACAAAAAAUAUUGGCCUUUUAUCGCUUUGAGGCUGAGGCCUGUGUAAGAAGGAUUCAGGCUCAGUUAAGUUCAAAAAUUUUAACCUAUUAUUGUUCCAAGGAGGUACCAUUUACAAGACAUUCACUAUUUGGUGCCAUCAAAGGGAACUUGGAAGAAGGAUUGUAUAGAGCGAUUGCAAAAGGGGAACUGUAAUCAUGUUUAUAAAAAUUGAUCACGUUUGUGUUGUUUGGUGCACUAAUAGCUAUAGUUCUGGGGAUAAUACAUUUUAAUCAGCCAAGGGACAAUAUUUGGGUAAUGUUUGCAAAUCAGUUGAACCAGUCUUCACUUUGUCUUAGCUUAGGAGGAGUGACUAAUCCUUUUCGAACUUGUUUAAUAGGUCUGCCAGUGUGGAAGCCUGAGGAGUUUUGUGGUUUAGUGAGCAAUGAAACAUUGUGUUGAAAUCUAUCUGCGGUUAAGGUUUUAGAUGGAGCGAUUAAUGGAACUCCACCACUUCAUGAUGCCUAUCGGCAGUGUCAAUACUGUCACUUAACACCACCUUGCAAUCGCCCCCUGAAGAGUUAGACCUUUUUGGGAGUGCUAAUGCCAGUUUGUCAGGAAGCAACUCAGGAGGCUGGAUUAACUUUACUCCUGUAAGUGACACAGCGCCUUGACCGUGGUUAAAACACAGGGGCGCCUGGGCUACUUUGGACUCUAAAUUAGAUUGGCAUAGUGUUCUCGACCAAACGUUUGAUAAAUGCAAUGCCAGCAAAAUUGGCACCCCAAAAAGGCUACCGAAAGGCAUCUUCUUGAUUUGUGGAGAUAGAGCAUGGAAUGGUAUACCGGCACAGCCACAAGGAGGGCCUUGUUAUCUUGGCAGACUAUCACUGUUUCACCCUAAUAUAUCUUUGAUCAUGCAGUGGAGCCAAAACACGAGCAGGAAAAAACGCAGUGUACAUGAGCUAGACUGCGAUCAGAUAGGAGACCCUACAUUUUGGAGUGAAUUCAAACAGGUAGCAGUUGCGACCAUCCUCCCUGGAGCUGCAGCUAAUAAGGCAAUGAAUUUAGCAAAACAAUUGGGUUGUUGGACAAAAGACGAAUUGAACAUGACAUCAGAAAUUCUGAACAUGCUCACAAGUGAUGUACAAAGCGUCAAUCAUGCAGUGUUACAAGACAGAGCUGCCAUAGAUUUCUUGCUCCUGGCGCAAGGCCAUGGGUGCGAGGAGUUUGAAGGAAUGUGCUGCUUGAACCUGUCUGAUCACUCCACAUCUAUACAUGCUAAAUUAAAAAGGUUACAGCAGGGCUUUCGCCAACUGAAACAAGAAGAUGGAUGGGGAAUAGACAAUUGGAUACAAUCAAUAUUUGGCUCUUUAUCACCUUGGCUCCUCUCUAUGAUUAAAGAAGUAUUGCGUUGGAUAGGCCUAAUAUUGUUGCUUAUAGUUGCAUUUAAGAUAGGCUACAAUUGUAUUAUGCGCAGCAUAACAAAAAAUUACAAUGCUCUGCUUGUGCAAAAAGAAAAAGGGGGAAGUGCUGGGGAAUGGUUAAGUGAACAAGGACAUGAUUCAAUAGAAGAGCUUUGUGAGACACAUAUUGUAUAAAUGGAAACCUUGUUAAACUCUGAGUGUGGGUAUGGACUGAAAGAACAGUAAGCAUGCAAGGAGGAACCUCUAAGAAGAAACUUCUAAGGGACAAGUGGAUCUUUCUCAAGGAAACAGGAUGGAACACUGAGCCCAACUGUGACUGCAAUGUAACUGCAAGAAGAUAAACAGAGCUCGAAGUAACAGCAUAGCAACAAUGAAUCAAUAGGGGGCAAAUAGUUUUAGUAACUAAUCAUGUAGAGGCUAUAACAAAGCACAAAGCAUCUUUUGAAUGUUAAGAUAUAUAAUCCGGGUAGAUUUUGAAUAAAGUCGAAGCUUGCUUUAUCACUCACACUGAGUUGUCCGCUUGCUUCCCUCGCCCGUUCCACACAGAGGUCCUCUGCAGAGGAUCUCAUGGAGCAGCAGAUUUUCUGUCAGGACUUGUGGCCUCACUGAGGACCUACACUGCAGUAGUCUAUCCAGAGGAGCUGCACCCUGCAGAAAGGACCCAUCUUGGAGCACUUCUUUAGGAAUUACAGGUCAUGAGAAAGACCCAUCUUAGAGAAUUUUGAGAACAACUGUCUCCUGUAGAAGGAACCUUACACUGGAGCAAGAGAAGAGGAUGAGAGGGAAGUCGUGAUAGAGAUAAAGUGUUACAAACAGAUCACAAACCUAAUUCCCCAUCCCCUACACCACUUGGAGGGUAUGUGUGAGAAGGAGCAGAGGAUUCAGGAGUGAAGAUGAGCCUUGGAAGAAGAGAGAGAUUUGUUGAAUGUAUACCAGAGUCUGACACUAGAUAAGAACUGAGUUCCAACAGCAACCCAUCAGCAAGAGACACAUUGCCUUUUGGAGUUUUAUCUUCCCGUUCCUGGUUUACCCUGUUCUAUUACUGCCCAGGAAAACUCCUCGCUAUCUUGCACUGCCAUCCAUUGUCUGAAAAGUUCAGGAACUCAUUUCUGCUGGCACCCAAAGUGAACUCCUUUCCUCAUCAUAGAGAAUAUCCUCUGAAGGUGAACUGGAGAUGGAAGCUUCAGAUUAAACAUCCAGAUACAGAAAUUAGCAUGGAGAAUGAGUUUUGUUAUAACUCACUACCAGCCUUCCCCCAGCCAAGCUUCACAGCUGCUAGAGAGAUACUGCUCUGAUAAAUUGACUUUUUUAAGCUAACUUCAAAAUCACCACCCUCUCCAACAAACACAAAGAAAGAACACCAAACCACAAAAUAUAGAGAAAUAGAGCUCCACAAAGUUAAUCUUCAUGGUCAAGAAGCAAAUUUUUAAUUUUAGGCAUGGCCUUUAUGAAGAACACAAGAAAAGAGAUGACUCACUUUUGCAUUUGUAGGGAUCAGUCUUUUCUUAUGUGAUGUCUCUGCAAGACAGAAAUUUUUUUCCUCAGGGUAAUUACCAGGACCCACAGUCGAUUUAUCAGGAGCCUUUUCUUCGCCUGCUAGCACUGCCCACUGUUGAGGAUGAUAUGCUGUUAAGGGGCAAUAACUGUACAAUCAUCUCUCCUUCCCCUCCCAACUGCUCUCAGCCCUGCAGGGUCAUCCAGUCUUGCCAAGAAAGAAACCUCCCUAAUCCUCAGAAGUAGGAGAGGCAACAGCGUGAGAAGAUAGCUGCCCAUCCUAGAGCUCAUUAUUUUAGGGUGGUCAAGUUAAAAAACAAAAAAAGGAGAAGAGAAACAGAUUUUUCCCACCCUGUAACGGCAUUAGGCUAAAGGAUGGGAACAAUUCUGUUUACUGUCUUCUGAAAGCACAGGCAUAAGUCAAGUCAUGUGAUUCAAACUCAGCCAGAUCCUCCUGCCUCCUCCUUCUCCUCUGCUGCUGAUGAAUGGAGGGACAUAACUUCCCUCAGCUCACAGACUGAGUGAAGGUGGACUAGGGAAAGAUCAAGACAGUAGGCAGGUGUCUACUUGUCUUAUAUACUAUUUUUAAAACCCAGAACACAUCAGUUAACCUAAAGACUCUCCUUGCGCAUUCUGGAAUACAAAUGUGUAAUCUGUGCCAUCUAAAUUGUCAGGCUAGUGUAUUUUGCCCUUGUUUGCUAUUUAAUUGCAAGUCCAGUAAGUCAGGCACCUCCAAAGAGACUUUGCAGGACCCUAACACCCUCAUAGGUCAACACGAUCUCAUGGUGGUGGAAACAUCACUGUCUCACUUCAGGUUUCUGUGUGUAAAUCCACAGCUGAGGAGAGUAUGCUCCUUCAGAAAGCUCUUGACUUUCAGGAAACUUUUCUCUAUCUGAUACCUGAUACCUCUUACUCAUAAACAAGCAGGCUGAAGCAGAGUUUGCAGAAACAUCCAGGAGGAUGGAGCAGUGUCUGAGCACCGUCAGGGAGUGGUCCGGAGCAGGUACUAUGAAAGUUGACAUCCCUGUCUCUGAUUGCGCCCUGCUCCAGCCUGAAAUCUGCUUCUAUCUGAGGAAUGGCCUGAAGCCAUAUUUUCAUCUGCUUAUGAGGUGAGAAGGAAAAAUACUCAAGUUCCAGCUUGUAGUCCCUCCCCUCAUUAUAAAUACAGAAGGCUGUGCCUGCCCUCACUAUAGGAAAAGGCAGGUCUUUUAGUGAUAAUAAGGAAGCCUGGCUGCAUUGACUGACUAGAAUGUUUUAAAUGUGUGUUUCUGGUAAAGAGGUACAAGAAAAAGGGUUUUAUUAUCUUCCUACAAAAUAAACAUUCUUUUGGUUCAAUCCUUAAUGUGGGAGUUUCAUAAUAAUAAAUUAGAGCUCAAAUAGAGCUGUAGUGAAAAAAAUGUGUUUAGUAUUCAUGCAACUUUUCCAUCCCCACUGUCCACAGAACAUAACUAAGAAGCUGAGAAAAAAACACGUACAGUAUUUGAAAGCAAUUUAAAAAUGUUACCCAGAACUAGUGUCCAUGAACUGUUCUAACAGUUCCCUGUAGUAUUUACAUAACAGUGGUUUGUAUCGUCUUGGUAUGCAGUAUUCAAGAAAGAAGAAAAAUAUUUUGCGGAGCUGGACCAAAACACAUAUAAAAAUGAUCCAAGUGGAAUCUUCAGUUGUCCUUGCAGCUGUACAACCUAAUGUAGGAAAAAGUUUAGCUUUAGUCUGCAGAUCUCUCUUCUUUCCUUGCCAUUAUCCUCACCGUUAUCUUCCAACCUGGCUUUCAGCCAGUCUCUGUUUAGGGCUUUUUGUGCUUUCUGAGGAUCCUGUGUAGCUCAUGAUUUAAAAAUAAAAGGUUGCAAAAAUAAAUAUACAUCACUACUAGUUUAAUAAAUCUGUACAUGAUUUAACAGACAAAAAGAUAAUAUAGUCUCUCAGAGAGGUCAUCUUUAAGAUAAAAUUUCACAGAAACACAUUCCCAUUCAACUUGAUGUCUUUCUAGGUUUUCCUUUCUCUGUGCUGUAUUUUACUCACUUUUCUGUUUGGUAAGCAAAAAGAAAGAGCUUGGAAAAUGCAGGCAUUUAUCAUUCCAGUGUGUGGUCCUAUAUAUCCCAGUUCACUUUCACUUGGCUAAGUUUUGCUUGUACAAGAAAUGGUAAUCAGUUAAUCUUUAGACCUGAACAGCUGAACUUCUGAGUGAAACCUGAAACCUUAGCUGCACUGAACAUCUUUCAGUAUUGCAAAGAAGACAUAUAAGCACAUCUGAGAUCAUUGCCAGAGGAUUCCCAGGACAGUUCUUGUACAAGUCUGAAUCUGUGCAGACAAUGUGAAGCGUAAAUAUCGUAACAUAAUUAAAGGCCAGAUUUGCCAAAAAGCAGGUUAUAUUUAGUUACCUAUAGCACUGCUCUGGAAAAACAGUGUAAAACAUUGUUUGACCAUCUGUAGGUUAGCACAGAGAGGAAACGAGAAAAUUGCUAAUUCACUGAAAACUUGAACAGUUAGACACAGAAAAAGUAAAGUAGUUGAGACGUAAGUUCAGAAGCACAGCAGCUUUCCAUCAUUGCAAUAAAAAAGACAUUUUUCAGAAUAUGAAAAUGGAAAGUGAGACAACUCUUUUUAGUUGCUUGAGAGGUAAGGAAAUCCAACCCGCUUUUGUGAAUUUGUAAUAAAUAUUUAUGGAGUUUCUUGAAGUGCCACCUAGUCUUCAGAAAAGUUGGUUUUACCUAAGGCCCACAGUGUAGCAGCACUUAAAACCCAGUUCCAAAACUUCUAGUGAUGAAAGAGAUGCAUUUUUUAGAAGGCUAAAAAAGUAAUUAUUAAUUUAAAUAAAAAAUAUUUGUAGGCUUUUGAACACAAAAAAAAUAUAAAUACAAAAUACAGAAAGUCUACUCUCCUACCUCCAAGACCUUACAAAAGAACAAAAAAAUUGAAUAAAUUACAAUGUCUCUGUAGAAAUAACCCUUAAAUGUCACUGUGGGAAAAUGUUACUACUUUUUCCAUCUUGUUCUUUGCAGUGGUAAAUCAAUAUUCACAAUAGGGGAUCAUUUCACUCCAUCCAGUAAAGGGUGCAGCACAGAGCAGGUGCUCAAGUGCUAAGUACAAAUCAAAGAAAACAGGCUCUGACAGAGUAGGACACAAAAAGGGUUCUGGAAGGAGCUUGUUAAUGUAAUUUUAUUCUGUAAAAGUGUGGUUAAGAAUGUAUAGGAGAGAUGUUCAUUCUAUUCAACUUUCAGCUAAUUUGUUCCUGUUUGUUCCUGGGCAUUAUUUCCUCAUGAAGGUUGAUGACAGAUUCUUGUAGGCCAC